CGUGACGCAGCGACGCCGCGUGUGGGAUGACGGCCUUCGGGUUGUAAACCACUGUCGGAAGGGACGAAUGGCCCGCAAGGGCAGUGACGGUACCUUCAAAGGAAGCACCGGCUAACUCCGUGCCAGCAGCCGCGGUAAUACGGAGGGUGCGAGCGUUGUCCGGAAUCACUGGGCGUAAAGGGCGCGUAGGCGGCCCGGUAAGUAGGGGGUGAAAUCUUGCGGCUUAACCGCAAGGCUGCCUUCUAGACUGCCAGGCUCGAGCACAGUAGAGGCAGGUGGAAUUCCCGGUGUAGCGGUGGAAUGCGUAGAGAUCGGGAAGAACAUCAGUGGCGAAGGCGGCCUGCUGGACUGUAGCUGACGCUGAGGCGCGACAGCGUGGGGAGCAAACAGGAUUAGAUACCCUGGUAGUCCACGCCGUAAACGAUGGGCACUAGGCGUCGGGGGGAGCGACCCUCCCGGUGCCGUCGCUAACGCAGUAAGUGCCCCGCCUGGGGAGUACGGCCGCAAGGCUG
rnacentral:rRNA from 1 species